rnacentral:rRNA from 1 species
UACGUAGGGAGCAAGCGUUGUCCGGAUUUACUGGGCGUAAAGGGUGUGUAGGCGGUUGUUUAAGUUUGGUGUGAAAUCUCCCGGCUCAACCGGGAGGGUGCGCCGAAUACUGAGUGACUAGAGUGCGGGCGAGGAAAGUGGAAUUCCUGGUGUAGCGGUGAAAUGCGUAGAUAUCAGGAGGAACACCGGUGGUGUAGACGGCUUUCUGGACCGUAACUGACGCUGAGACACGAAAGCGUGGGUAGCAAACAGG